rnacentral:rRNA from 1 species
UACGUAGGGUGCAAGCGUUGUCCGGAAUUAUUGGGCGUAAAGAGCUCGUAGGCGGUUUGUCGCGUCUGCUGUGAAAACUCAGGGCUUAACUCUGAGCUUGCAGUGGGUACGGGCAGACUAGAGUGCGAUAGGGGAGACUGGAAUUCCUGGUGUAGCGGUGAAAUGCGCAGAUAUCAGGAGGAACACCGAUGGCGAAGGCAGGUCUCUGGGCCAUAACUGACGCUGAGAAGCGAAAGCAUGGGGAGCGAACAGG